rnacentral:lncRNA from 1 species
GAAGGUUCAGUGUCCUAGUUCCCUUCCCCCAGGCAAAACGACACGGGAGCAGGUCAGGGUUGCUCUGGGUAAAAGCCUGUGAGCCUGGGAGCUAAUCCUGUACAUGGCUCCUUUACCUACACACUGGGGAUUUGACCUCUAUCUCCACUCUCAUUAAUAUGGGUGGCCUAUUUGCUCUUAUUAAAAGGAAAGGGGGGAGAUGUUGGGAGCCGCGCCCACAUUCGCCGUUACAAGAUGGCGCUGACAGCUGUGUUCUAAGUGGUAAACAAAUAAUCUGCGCAUGUGCCAAGGGUAUCUUAUGACUACUUGUGCUCUGCCUUCCCCGUGACGUCAACUCGGCCGAUGGGCUGCAGCCAAUCAGGGAGUGACACGUCCGAGGCGAAGGAGAAUGCUCCUUAAGAGGGACGGGGUUUCGUUCUCUCUCUCUCUUGCUUUUUCGCUCUCUUGCUUUUCUCUCUCUCUUGCUUUUUCGCUCUCUUGCUUCUCGCUCUCUCUUGCUUCUUGCUCUCUUGCUUCUUGCACUCUGCUCCUGAAGAUGUAAGAAUAAAGCUUUGCCGCAGAAGAUUCUGGUCUGUGGUGUUCUUCCUGGCCGGUCGUGAGAACGCGUCUAAUAACACUGGUGGCCACAGCCUCUGAGGAGAAAGGGAGAGGCCAUUUGUUAGUUUUGGUAUACUUUAACUAUUUUUCAGAUAUUUUAUUUCUUUUAUGGACUGGUGUGCAUGUAUGUGUGUAUAUAUGGAGACCGGAAAUUAACCUUGGGUAUUGUUCUUUUUACCUUCCUUAUUUUUCUCUAUAAAAAGUUCUCUCUCUCUGUCUCUCUCUGUCUCUCUAUCUCUCUGUCUCUCUGUCUCUCUGAAUCUCUCUCUGUCUCUCUCUCUCUCACACACACACACACACACACACACACACACACACACACACACACAAAAGACAACUUUUGGGAGUCAAUCCUUCAACUGUGUGGGUCUCAGGAAUGGAACUCAGGCUAUUAGCUUUGAUGGUAAAUGGCUUUACCUGUUGAGACAUCUCACAGGUCCACAUCUAUGGGUCUCUUGCUGGCCUGGAGUUCACCAAGUGGGCUAUUAUGAAUGGUCAUGAGCCCAGGCACACACCUACGUCCACCUCACCAGUGCUGGGACAGGCCACAUACCUGGUGUCAUUACUUGUGUUCUGGCAGUUAUCCUAGAGGUACACGUUUAUGGCAAGCAAGCACUUUAUUGACAAAGCCAUUUCCUGAGUACCUGACAGGGUUUUAACAUUAUAAGUGGGUCUGAAGGGCCCAUUACCAGACUCCCUUUCCUGGCUUGUGUAAUCCAAAGUUGGUGGAAUCUCUGCCUCAAAUGUCACAGCUUCAAAAUCCAUUUCUGUCUUAGUAGGAUUUUUGACCAUAAUAGAUUUUAAUAUUUUACUGAAGACCACUACUAAUCUCACACACUCUGCCUUGAAAUUCAAAGUAAAAGCCGCUCCUGUUUUCUCUUUCGGAGGGAAUAUUUCUCUGUUCCUUACGCACUGGAAAAUGUAAAUCCAAAGAACUCUUUAUUAAAAGGCAACAGACGUGACAGAACCAUGAAUUUGCUGGGAGUGUCUAUAGAUGGAUCAUUACUUGAACAAUAGAGAUGCUAUUCUAGAAAAUUUGUCACCAGGACAAACUUUUGUGAUUAGUUGUGACAGAUCCCGAUAUGGCUUGGUCUCCCUCUGGUCCUCAGCAGAGCCGCUGGUCCUGGAUGAGUUUCAGUCUAUGGACAUCUGUGUUGGUUGGCAAGAGGCAGAUUUCAGAGUCACUCCAGAUCAUCAGUGGCACCCGAUCUAAAAAAAGGGGACGGCAGCUGCUCUGAUUAAGAACCUGCUCCGAGAAGGAAUGGAGAACUCCUGUACUCACCAGCAUGUGUUUUGGACACCAUCAGACCAUUUAUGAGUCCCGAAACUUCUAAGAUGCCAGAGGAGAUGUGGAAACGUCCCAUAUUUAUUGUUGCCUAGAGUGAAGUACAGUAUACAUAUUUGCUGGUGUAUUGUGGUUCUAACCUUAUUAAAGAAGGCUCUGAGAUGGUAGCUUUCUCUGAAACAUGAGCAAUACCUAAUAUGUUUAUGUACUGUAACAAAACAAUUUAGUAAAGAUCAUAGAUUUAUUUCUUACAGUUCUCAGGGCUGGCAAGGUCAAGGUUAAGGCCGAUGUGUUAGCUGAUGAUUCAACGUGUGGUGAGGGCUUGCUUGCUGUUGACAAAGUGGCACCAGAAGGACUCUGUGCUCACAUAGUAGAUGACAGAAGGACAAUUCACAUGGGUAUUGAUCCCCUUGAUGAGAAUGGGGCCCCUCACGACUUCAUCAGUUAUUAAUCAGUUAUUUAAACUCACAUCUUAGCCUUUGUUUUAAGUUCUGACAUACAUCCAAACAAUAGAGGGUUUUAUAUUAUAUACUAGAUACAUUUGUUCAGUUUUGUUUGUAUAUUUCUGUGUGUGCAUGUGCACCUGAGUGUGUGUGUUUGUGUGUGUGUGUCUGCAUGUGUAUGUGUGUCUGCAUGUGUAUGUGUGUCUGCAUGUGUAUGUGUGUGUGUAUGUGUGUGUGUAUGUGUGUGUGUAUGUGUGUGUGUGUGUCUGCUUGUGUAUGUGUGUGUGUGUGUAUGUGAGUGUGUCUGCAUGUGUAUGUGUGCACAGGUAUAUGUAUAUUAAUGUGAAAGUCAGAAGUUGUUGCUGAGGAACAUUAUUUUUUUUUAAGAUUUAUUUAUUUUAUUUAUAUGAGUACACUGUAGCUGUCAUCCGACACACCAGAAGAGGGCAUCAGAUCCCAUUACAAGUGGUUGUGAGCCACCAUGUGGUUGCUGGGAAUUGAACUCAGGAUGCAGCCAGUGCUCUUAACCCCUGAGCCAUCCCUCCAGCCCAGGAACAUUCUUUGAUCACUCUCUCACUGGACCUGGAGCUCACUGGUCUGGCUAGACUGGCAGGUUGAUUAGGGGUGUGUGUGUGUGUGUGUGUGUGUGUGUGUGUUCCUUCCUUUACCUCCUCAGCAUUGGCACUUCACUCGGGUGCUGGGGAUCCGAACUCUUAUCAAAACAUUUCCCUGGGGCCAAGUCCACUUCCUAGCCACAUUAGAUAGUCAGGUGGUCUACGGGCAAGAUACAGCCUCCAAGUUGUGUCAUCAGAUACUAAUAUCCGAGGUCACGCAGAUAUGAAAGCAAUGACCAUGCUGGGUGCUCAGGCAGGAGUUUGCCUUUUCUGGUUAACCUGAUGGAUCUAGGUGACUCUGAGCUAUGCAAUUUGGCCAUGCAUUUGCUAUUUUUUUUUAAAGGUUGUAUAAAGUUUCCCAAUGUCUACAGUUCCUUCAGUGGCCAUUUGAGUUACAGGGAAGAAAAAAGAAAAACUCUCCAGAAAGCACAAUAUGAAGAUUGGCAAUCCAAGGAGGAGAUGCUCAUGGUUAUGACCCACUCACAGAUUUGUGAAAUAUAGGUCGGAUGGAAAGGAAGUGAAACUUCCUGUUGAAGUUUCAUUUAUAGCAUGUCUCUGGAAAUUGCUAAAUGUAAUUUCUUGGUGUAAAAUAAACUGCAGAAAUCUGGGCUGUGUCCGUCUGCUGUGUGUUUAUGGAAGCCGUUCUGUCUGAAGCUGAGAUGUUGUAAAAAUUAUAGAGUGUCA